rnacentral:pre_miRNA from 1 species
AGGAGGAGCAGCCCCAGUGGCGGGGCAGCUCUGGAAACCUGGGUUCAGCUCCGGCAGGAACUCCGUCUGCAGGGCCUGGAGGCUCCGGGGCGGG